UGCGUCAAGGGGAGGCAGAGGUGGGGGGGAGAAGUGCGCAGAUUUAAGAUAGACUUUUGAAGGCAGAGGCGACAGGACUUCCUAAUAGAUUGGUUAUGGAGUGAGCAAGCAAGAAGUCAAGGAUAACAUCAAGAUAUCUGUCCCCAGCACCUGGAAGGAUGGAACUGCCAUCUGCAGACAUGGAGACGACGUGGGAGCAGCAGGGCUGGGGACCAGGAACAGUUUCGACCUAAUGAACAUCCGCCUGGAGAUGUCAGUUUCAGAAAUCUGGGGUGCUCAGCUGGGUCCUCUGCUUCAGGGUCUCCCACAGGCUGCAAUCAAGGUGUUGUGCUGGGCUGGGGUCUCAUCUGAAGGCUCGACUGAGGCAGGAUCUGCUUCCAAGCCUAUGUGGUUGCUGGUAGACUUCAGUUCCUCGCUGGCUGUUGGCUGGAGGCUGCCCCAUCCCAUUCCUUGCUCUGAGGGUCUCUCCGAAGGGCAGUGGAGCAGUUGAGUUACAUUUCUCUCACCACCACCACCACCCCCACAUUGGAUCACACUCUCUCUGGAGGAAGCCAGCUGCCAUGUCAUGAGCAGCCCUAUGGCGAGGUCCACGUGGUGAGGAACUGAGGCCUCCGGCCAACAGCCAUGGGAGGGAACCAGCUUGGAAGCAGCUCCUCCAGCCCCAGUCGAGCCUUCAGACGAGGCAGCCCUGGCUGAUGUCUUGACUGUGACCUCCUGAGGGACCCUGAGCCAGAACCCCUCAGCUAAUUUACUCCUGGAUUCCUGACCCAUAGAAACUGGGUGAAAUAAUAGAUGUGUAGUGUUUUAAGCAGCUAAAUUUUGGGGUGGGGGGUUAAUUUGUUAUGCAGCAACAGCUAACUGAUAUGCCCUGGGUGUCACUUAGCCUAUUCCCCCUGGAUGAACACCUACAUGACAGCCUGGGCUCAGCCAUCCCAAGCACAACCCUAUUCUUCUCAGGUAGAAUCUGUUUUGCACGGGUGCACAUUCUAAAUGUUUAAUGACUCUGAGUUAAAUUUAUUUAUGUACUUUUUUUUUUUCAUGCGCUGCAAGGCUUGAGGGAUCUUAGUUCCCCAACCAGGGAUCAAACCCAGGCCCCAGCAGUGAAAGCGCCAAGUCCUAACCACUGGACCGCCAGGGAAUUCCCUGACUUUGAGUUAAAUUUAAAAGCUUAAAUUGGACUAUCGCAAAUAACAACUUGAAUAACAAUACAUUCAAAUUGAAGCCACCACACAGGACAGGGAAUUGGGAUAGUAUAGUGGUUAAGAGACCAGCCUGAGAGCCUGGGUUCAAUUACUGCUGUGCAGCCUCGGGGAGGUCACUUAACCUCUCUGGGCUUCAGUUUACUGGCUUAUAAAGUGGGGCCAUUAAUAGGACAUACCUCACAAGGCUGUGGCAGGUUGAGUUAUGUCGUGUAAAAUGUUGAGGCUAGUGUUGUCCGAGAGAACUUCCCAAGUGAUGGAUGUGUGACUCCUGAGCCCUUGAAAUGUGGCUUAGUGUGACUGAGGAAGUGAAGUAAUAAUUUGAUAAAUGGAUUGAAAUGUAAAUAGCCACAGGUGGCUAGUAGCUACUAUAUUGGAUGACACAGGCUUGAAACAAUGCUUGGCAAAUAGUAAGUGCUUAAUAAAUGCUUGGUAGGAAUAUUACUCUGCCCAUGUUCUCCAGAGUGCCAACUUACACCCCACCAGCAGCACAGAGGUCACCCAGGUAUCCUCGUAACACCCCAACCUGAUCACACCCCUCCCUUGCUCAAAAUCCUCUGUAGCUCCGAACUGACAUCAAGAUAAUGUCCCAGGGACUUCCCUGGCGGUCCAGUGGUUAGGACUCCACGCUUCCACUGCAGGGGGCACGGGUUCGAUCCCUGGUCGGGGAACUAAGAUCCCGCAUGCCACGGGGCACGGCCAAAUAAAAUAAAAUAAAAUAAAAAUUCUCCCAGAUUUGCUGGUCUCAUUGUGAUUACAACUUUUAGCGUACUUGAGAAUUACUUUCUCUUGUGGGGAUAGGGUACUUUUGAUUUUUUGUCCAAAAGUACUUUCUCCUUGAUUGAAACCUUGGGUGGGCGGGGACAAGGUCCGGCACACAGAAGGUGCUCAGUCGCAAAAGAACCUCUGUAACCCAGCCCCUGUCAUCUCUGCAUCCAUCUCUUCACCCAGUGCUGUGGUCUUAGCCAAUGAUCCAAUGACCACAACAUGCCAAGCCUCUGAGCCUUUGCCCAGGCUGUUCCUUCCACCUGGAAAACCCUUCCAGGUGGACUCAGACUCACCUUUCCAGCUCCCACUCCAGAUGGGCCUCGUUCUCUCUGCUGGAGCUGGAGCAAAGCACUUCCUGUCUCUGAGCCUCAGUCUCCUCAACUGUAAAAUGGGAUGAGUCCUUGGUAAGAUUAAAAGACAUCGUUUCUGCAAAGCCCCUGGCAGGAUAUUAAGUAGCUCAUUAAAUCGAGUGGUUAGUACCCCUCCCAUGGAUUUGGAAAGGCUCAGUUUUGGUGUGGCCAUCCCCCCUACUCACACCCCUACUCCAGGAUUUUACCCUGGAGCCCAUGGUUCCCCAUCCCAGCUCUCAGGAAUUUUUUUCUUUAGGACCUUUGAGGCUUUCACUGGGGUGGGGCAGGGGCCUCAAACUGCUUUGUUUUUUCAGCCAAAGCCACAUCAUCUCUUAGAUCUU